GGAGAGGUGCGAGAGUGGACGAAUCGGCACGACUGGAAAUCGUGUAGCUACCCAAAAGGUGGCUCCAGGGUUCGAAUCCCUGCCUCUCCGCCA
rnacentral:tRNA from 1 species